UUCAGGACUCGCCAAUGUUUUUCAAUCCGUCUGUCUAAUAUGGUCUGCGUAGACGUUUAUAUAUGUAGGAGGGUGCGGGAAUUCGUUUUUCCGGGCUCGUGCACGAAAUCAGCCAUCGUUCACACCGGCACAAGCGCCAGUGACUGUGAAAGAGGGACGCAGGAGACCGAAAGCUGAUGUCUCAGAGGAGAUGGGAUCCGAGUCACUGAAUUCCCUUCUCUUCCCCAGAAACAGGGAAAAGCAAUCAUUGCACUAUAAAAACUAUUUUCAGCCUUCCUUUAACCAUUCCAAAAUAAAAGCCUCCCCCCUGCACCCUCACUCUUUGACCAGUUGCUUUUUUCUACUUCAUCGAAACCCCUAACGGCUAACCCCUUUUUGUUUUCUGUUACAGAAAGAAGACGCUUACGUAAUGAAUAAAAAGGAUCGCCUAGAGAAUGACAGCUGCAACAAAUACGAGGAAGACCUGACACUAACACGUAACGCAAAUAAUACGACGGUAAAUAAUUUUUGAUAGAGUUCAGUACCUGAUUUAGAUGGCAGAAGCGAAGAGUGCGGCUGAGGAAGGUUCGUGUGCGACCGGAAUCGAGUGCGUCUGAGAGCUGACUGCUUCCUCGCUCGCCGUUCGAAAAGACUUUUUAGUUUGGGAGGCAAGCGGGUGGAGAAAGGGGAGGAUAUGUUGCUGUUUGGCCCUCACUGACUGGUAAAGCUUCCUCUCCCGUCUGCGCCGUUAGAAGUGAGGAAAAACACGAUCUUCUUGUGCGCGCCACCAAUCACCGAACAGACGGGCCAUUUCCGCCCAACGUUUGGCCACGUUCUUUUAUUUAUUUUAUUCCUUUUUUUCGUUUCCCUUUUGUUUGUUUUUUGAAAUUUUAACCACCAUUUCAAUUCUGAACGUAAACUGUCAAAUAAUC